rnacentral:rRNA from 1 species
AGCAGCCGCGGUAAUUCCAGCUCCAAUAGCGUAUAUUAAAGUUGCUGCAGUUAAAAAGCUCGUAGUUGAAUUUCGGGAUCAAUAUGUUGGUCGUGCCUUGGUGCGUACUAGUUUAUUGAUUUCUCCCUUCUGACGAACUAUGAUGCCAUUAAUUUGGUGUCAUGGGGAAUCAGGACUGUUACUUUGAAAAAUUAGAGUGUUUAAAGCAGGCUCACGCUUGAAUACAUUAGCAUGGAAUAAUAAAAUAGGACGUUUGAUUCUAUUUUGUUGGUUUCUAGGAUCGACGUAAUGAUUAAUAGGGAUAGUUGGGGGCAUUAGUAUUCAAUUGUCGGAGGUGAAAUUCUUGGAUUUAUUGAAGACUAACUACUGCGAAAGCAUUUGCCAAGGAUGUUUUCAUUAAUCAAGAACGAAAGUUAGGGGAUCGAAGACGAUCAGAUACCGUCGUAGUCUUAACCAUAAACUAUGCCGACUAGGGAUCGGAUGAUGUUAAUUUUUAAUGACUCAUUCGGCG